UACGUAGGGUGCGAGCGUUUAAUCGGAAUUACUGGGCGUAAAGCGUGCGCAGGCGGUUUUGUAAGCCAGAUGUGAAAGCCCCGGGCUUAACCUGGGAAUGGCAUUUGGGACUGCAAGGCUGGAGUGUGGCAGAGGAGACUGGAAUUCCUGGUGUAGCAGUGAAAUGCGUAGAUAUCAGGAGGAAUACCGAUGGCGAAGGCAGGUCUCUGGGCUAACACUGACGCUCAUGCACGAAAGCGUGGGGAGCAAACAGG
rnacentral:rRNA from 1 species